rnacentral:lncRNA from 1 species
AGAAGAUAAGUGUGAUACAACCAAAUCAUGAUGAUGAGUGAUUUACUAGGCUUGACUUGCAACGAUUCUACAUUGGUGAAGAUGACAACAUAUUGAUUCUCCGCUCCAUAUUCUUAAGCAUUUGAAAUUCCUUCAAAUUUUACAUUUUGCAGUUUCCUUUUUACGUCUUCCUUCCUUAUGUAAUGAAAACUACGGUCGACCUGAUUCCCCUAUAUAAGGGAUAUGUAGGCGUUCAUUUAAU